CCUACGGGAGGCUGCAGUGGGGAAUAUUGGACAAUGGGCGAAAGCAUGAUCCAGCCAUGCCGCGUGUGUGAAGAAGGCCUUCGGGUUGUAAAGCACUUUCAGUGGGGAAGAAAGCCUUGGGGCUAAUACCCUCGAGGAAGGACAUCACCCACAGAAGAAGCACCGGCUAACUCCGUGCCAGCAGCCGCGGUAAUACGGAGGGUGCGAGCGUUAAUCGGAAUUACUGGGCGUAAAGCGCGCGUAGGCGGUCUGAUAAGCCGGUUGUGAAAGCCCCGGGCUCAACCUGGGAACGGCAUCCGGAACUGUCAGGCUAGAGUGCAGGAGAGGAAGGUAGAAUUCCCGGUGUAGCGGUGAAAUGCGUAGAGAUCGGGAGGAAUACCAGUGGCGAAGGCGGCCUUCUGGACUGACACUGACGCUGAGGUGCGAAAGCGUGGGUAGCAAACAGGAUUAGAUACCCUAGUAGUC
rnacentral:rRNA from 1 species